UGUGGCUGGGGGUGAAAGGCCAAUCAAACCGGGAGAUAGCUGGUUCUCCCCGAAAUCUAUUUAGGUAGAGCCUCGGACGAAUUCCAUUGGGGGUAGAGCACUGUUAAGGCUAGGGGGUCAUCCCGACUUACCAACCCUUUGCAAACUCCGAAUACCAAUGAGAACUAUCCGGGAGACACACGGCGGGUGCUAACGUCCGUCGUGGAGAGGGAAACAACCCAGACCGCCAGCUAAGGUCCCAAAAUAUUGCUAAGUGGGAAACGAUGUGGGAAGGCAUAGACAGCUAGGAGGUUGGCUUAGAAGCAGCCACCCUUUAAAGAAAGCGUAAUAGCUCACUAGUCGAGUCGGCCUGCGCGGAAGAUGUAACGGGGCUAAGCAAUAUACCGAAGCUGCGGCAGCAUGUUUACAUGCUGGGUAGGGGAGCGUUGUGUAAGUGGAUGAAGGUGAGUUGUAAAGCUUGCUGGACAUAUCACAAGUGCGAAUGCUGACAUGAGUAACGAUAAUGGGAGUGAAAAACUCCCACGCCGGAAGACCAAGGUUUCCUGUCCCAUGCUAAUCAGGGCAGGGUAAGUCGGCCCCUAAGGCGAGGCAGAAAUGCGUAGUCGAUGGGAAACGGGUUAAUAUUCCCGUACUUAUAUAAUCAGUGAUGGAGGGACGGAGAAGGCUAGGCAAGCUUGGCGUUGGUUGUCCAAGUGAAAGUGAGUAGGCUGAAGACUUAGGUAAAUCCGGGUUUUCAAGGCCGAGACACGAGACGAGCUCCCAAGGGAGUGAAGUUGUUGAUGCCCUGCUUCCAGGAAAAGCUUCUAAACUUAUGAUUAUAUGAACCGUACCCCAAACCGACACAGGUGGUCAGGUAGAGAAUACUAAGGCGCUUGAGAGAACUCGGGUGAAGGAACUCGGCAAAAUUGUACCGUAACUUCGGGAGAAGGUACGCCUCUGUUUGUGAACACUUCGCGUGGUAAGCAAAUGGAGGCCGCAGUGACCAGGUGGCUGGGACUGUUUAUUAAAAACACAGCACUCUGCAAACUCGUAAGAGGACGUAUAGGGUGUGACACCUGCCCGGUGCCGGAAGGUUAAUUGAUGGGGUUAGUUUUCGGACGAAGCUCUUGAUCGAAGCCCCGGUAAACGGCGGCCGUAACUAUAACGGUCCUAAGGUAGCGAAAUUCCUUGUCGGGUAAGUUCCGACCUGCACGAAUGGUGUAACCAUGGCCACGCUGUCUCCACCCGAGACUCAGUGAAAUUGAAAUCGCAGUGAAGAUGCUGUGUACCCGCACCUAGACGGAAAGACCCCGUGAACCUUUACUACAGCUUGGCACUGAACAUUGAACCUACAUGUGUAGGAUAGGUGGGAGGCUUUGAAGCACAGUCGCUAGAUUGUGUGGAGCCGUCCUUGAAAUACCACCCUUGUAUGUUUGAUGUUCUAACAUUGUUCCCUUAUCGGGAAUGUGGACAGUGUCUGGUGGGUAGUUUGACUGGGGCGGUCUCCUCCCAAAUAGUAACGGAGGAGCACGAAGGUUAGCUAAUCACGGUCGGACAUCGUGAGGUUAGUGCAAUGGCAUAAGCUAGCUUAACUGCGAGACAGACACGUCGAGCAGGUACGAAAGUAGGUCAUAGUGAUCCGGUGGUUCUGUAUGGAAGGGCCAUCGCUCAACGGAUAAAAGGUACUCCGGGGAUAACAGGCUGAUACCGCCCAAGAGUUCAUAUCGACGGCGGUGUUUGGCACCUCGAUGUCGGCUCAUCACAUCCUGGGGCUGAAGUCGGUCCCAAGGGUAUGGCUGUUCGCCAUUUAAAGUGGUACGCGAGCUGGGUUUAGAACGUCGUGAGACAGUUCGGUCCCUAUCUGGUGUGGGCGUUGGAUGAUUGAUGGGAGCUGCUCCUAGUACGAGAGGACCGGAGUGGACGAACCGCUGGUGUUCGGGUUGUCAUGCCAAUGGCAUUGCCCGGUAGCUAUGUUCGGAACGGAUAACCGCUGAAAGCAUCUAAGCGGGAAGCCGGCCCAAAGAUGAGUCAUCCCUGAACUUUAAGUUCUGGAAGGGUUGUUAUAGACGAUGACGUUGAUAGGCAGGGUGUGGAAGCGUUGUAAGGCGUUAAGCUAACCUGUACUAAUUGCCCGAGAGGCUUAACCAUACAACGCCCAAGAAGCUUU
rnacentral:rRNA from 1 species